rnacentral:rRNA from 1 species
GUAGGUGGCAAUCGUUGUCCGGAAUUAUUGGGCGUAAAGCGCGCGCAGGCGGUUCUUUAAGUCUGAUGUGAAAGCCCACGGCUCAACCGUGGAGGGUCAUUGGAAACUGGAGAACUUGAGUACAGAAGAGGAAAGCGGAAUUCCACGUGUAGCGGUGAAAUGCGUAGAGAUGUGGAGGAACACCAGUGGCGAAGGCGGCUUUCUGGUCUGUAACUGACGCUGAGGCGCGAAAGCGUGGGGAGCAAACAGGAUUAGAUACCCUGGUAGUCCACGCCGUAAACGAUGAGUGCUAAGUGUUAGGGGGGUUUCCGCCCCCCUUAGUGCUGCAGCUAACGCAUUAGGCACUCCGCCUGGGAGUACGGCCGCAAGGCUG